UACCAUCAUCCGCCUAUUACCCCCCCAAACCCUACAGACCUAUCAUGUUCUCUCAAGUCUCAAGAAAGAGACCAAGCAGCCGCACACCCCAUCUUCGUUUCUUAAUCUCUAAUUUUUGAGAGACCAAGGUUGCUCCUUCUCGUUUCUUACAAUGCCACCGGUGAUGGCUCUCUAUCCCUUGUCCUGGCUGCCGCUUCUCCAGCCCUUUCUUCCCUUCGCCACCUGCUUUUACCACCGGUGAUGGCCGGCGACUGCAACACCACCUCUGCUCCGCCACUGCUUGUCUUCUUCGUCUCCCCUUCCCCCUUCUCCUAACUUGAUGUUAAUUUUCGUUUUUUUUCAGGUUUUAGACUCGCCGGAAAAUAAAUAGAUCUAGCCGGAAAUGUUAUUUCCCGGCAAAAUGCUGCCUUUUUGUACAUCUACCUUCUAUUUCUGUCAGAUCUAAAGGGGAACGAAAAGAUAACUAAAAAUUCGCUUCGUCGGAGUUCGUCGGAAUCUAGACGGAGAACAUUUUCUCCCAUGAUAGGUGCGUGUUUUGUUUAUUGCCGCCUUAGUCCAUGACUGUUUCAUUUUCCAUCCACUCGUCGGUUAUAUUUUGUUAUUUCAAUUUUGUUUACAUCAUUGUUUCUUACCACUGAUGUUUGGGAUUAGAAGGCCGUCGUUUGGCCUCUCGUUACUGAUAUGUGUAAAGUUUUGUGACUGUUAGCUCUGUCGUAACUUCCUUUUUCGGCGACUGUUCGUUCUUGGAUGGUACUGCUUUGGUAUUGCAUAUCCUCUUCUAUGUUGGUUGCUCUUGGACUUGAUUUCAAUAUUCUUCCAUCCUUGCCUAUGAUUUGUUUGUCAUUUUGAGGCUCCUCUGGCAGAACACUACUGGAAUUGGAUUGAAUUUGUGCCAAACAGAUUAUUGUCCAAGUAGCACUGUUGCUUCACCAGUGCUGGUUCAACAGUAAAGAUCGUUGGUUUUUGCUACACUAAAUACCGAUGAAAAAAUGUUUUACGAAUUAUUGAGGCCGCGCCCCUCGGAUGUACCCUCCAGACUGGGCCCUAAUAUAACGAGGUGAUGACGAUAACUUAUCAAAAAAAAAAAGAAAGACAUAAACAUGGCGAACCAAUAACCUUUGGAGGGCGACACAACUAGCUAUCAAGGUUCCCAUUCUCAUGUCUAGACGGGACAAAAAUACAAUCUGAGCCUUCUAUUUUAUUUUUUAAAUUAUUUUCCAAAAACAUUUCAAAUCAUUUUCAAAAAACAAUUUUUUAAAACAUUUUCAAACCAAAAUUAUUUCAAAAAUUUAACUUUAAUAACUUAUUUUCACAUCACAUUAGUUUACUAACAUUUUCUUCGUUCUUUGCAAGGUACCCUAACAAUGAACUCGAAGAUGAAAAGACAAAUCUCUGUCAAGCUCCCCGCUUCGCACUUUUUAUUCUAGGAUGUACCCUAAAAUAAAUACAUGCUUAGAACAAAUUCAUGAUAGCUACCCCUUUUUUAUGAAAUGACAUUCAACAUGAUUAGUUUGCAUAUAGUUGUGCACGGAUAGUUGCUUUCUUGUGGGAUUCUCUAAAAGUCCGAAAUAUUUUAUAUGUUGUACAUCCAUUAGAUUUAGUUGAGUAUAACCCAUUGUGUUUGUCUAUGAUUCUUGACUGAUUAUUUGUUGGUCAUGCAUUUGUUAUAAGAUUCAUUUAUCAUUAUUUACAAGACCAUCCCAAAACAAAUAUUCUUUCACAUACUCUAUUCCAAAGUUGUUAAUUUCAAGUCGACUCUAGCAGGUUUACUCCUUGAUUCUAUCCCCAUCCAAAUAUUUUUGUUUGUCAAAAUAUAGCCUUUUGUGCUUCAUUAAUUAAAACGCAUACCUUCUUCAAAACUUCAGCCAUUCUCACAUAUCUUGUCUACUUUUUUGUGUAUAUUUAAUUACAUAUUUUAUUUCGAGUCUUAUGUUUUACUGUGAAUAGAUAUCAUCCUUUACUCAUCAAAAUAAUCCUUUCACUUUGUUUACCGUAAUUCUUUUAAGACAAUUCUUUCCCACUCUUUGGUAAAAUAUUUUGGAGUAAGUUUUCAUUCUUUAUAUUUAGUCUCCCAUUCAAAAUAGUUAACUUUUACACAUAAAUUAAAUUUUUUCAAGUGUAUUCUUUUAAUUAAAAUUCAUUUAGCCAAGUUACAAAAUACUCAGCUCAUUACUGCAUAUUCUUUACAUUUUAUUAAAAUCAUCAAAACAUGGUCUUUUCUUAUAUUUUGUCCAUACUCAUUAUAUGUAAUUUAUUUACAUUUAUU
rnacentral:lncRNA from 1 species